rnacentral:rRNA from 1 species
UACAGAGGUCUCAAGCGUUGUUCGGAUUCAUUGGGCGUAAAGGGCGCGUAGGCGGAAUGGCAAGUCGGUCGUGAAAUCCUUCGGCUCAACCGAAGAACGUCGAUCGAAACUGCCGUUCUUGAGGAUUGCAGAGGAGACUGGAAUUCCCGGUGUAGCGGUGAAAUGUGUAGAGAUCGGGAGGAACACCGGUGGCGAAGGCGGGUCUCUGGGCAAUUCCUGACGCUGAGGCGCGAAAGCGUGGGGAGCAAACGGG